AUUAGAAGUAGCACCGGAUCAGAAACUCUUUUGUAAAUUUCUUCUGCAGUAAGGGACAACAAUUUUUCUCCUUCUUUAUCCAUAAUUAUUCCAAUUGUUGAGCCUGAGUUAUCUUUGAGAUCCACAUCAAACCUGCACUUAUAGUAUUAUAUAUGUAAAACAUAGUGAUUUGAUUUUUUUGAAUAAGAAGAAUGUGAAACAAUAUAUGGGCAGAUACAUAUUAUAAAGUACCUGGGUUCUAACAGAUUUUUCUGGUCGCAGUUCAUACAAUGAAUUUAUGUUAUGGUUGGAUAGCGUACGUCUUGUCCGCAGUUUGAACAGACCAACAUAUAGAAUUUCUUAAGGUCAAUGGGAAAGGUUAUUUUUGCCUCAAUUGUAAAUGUCUGGCCCUGUGUUAGGAGAAAGAUAAGGAUGAGAAUUAUUAUAGUAGAUUUGGAGCUGAAGUAAAGGGAAAAUGGUGUACUGACAUCUUGUUGUGAGUCAAUGUUUGCAAUAGGUACCACUUGUUCAAUCUUCAUCCUUUGGAACAGAGAUAAGAAAUCAUGUACUCAAUUGCAUUCUUAUUUAAUGGGCGCGCAGGCUUAGGGCACGGCAAACUUCUGAUGAGCUGGAGAUGGAGGAGGGUGAUGAAAUCGAUGCAAUGCUACAUCAAACUGGAUGCUGCACUUGUUUCUCUAAUUUUUAACUUGGUUUAUGUUAGUAGAUUGUUUAGGGUGAUACUUUCAACUCCCUCAUCUGCUCUAA